GACGAACGCUGGCGGCGUGCUUAACACAUGCAAGUCGAACGAAGUGGCGAACGGGUGAGUAACGCGUAAUCAACCUGCCCUUCAGCGGGGGACAACAGUUGGAAACGACUGCUAAUACCGCAUACUGAAGGAGGGGAUUGCGUCUGUUUAGCUCGUUGGAGGGGUAACGGCCGACCAAGGCGAUGAUCAGUAGCCGGGCGGAGAGGGUGAACGGCGCAAUUGGGACUGAGAAACGGCCCAGACUCCUACGGGAGGCAGCAGUGGGGAAUCGUCCGCAAUGGACGAAAGUCUGACGGAGCAACGCCGCGGGAGGGAGGACGGCCUUCGGGUUGGAAAGCUCUGUUGAUCGGGACGCGGUACCGGAAUAGAAAGCCACGGCUAACUACGUGCCAGCAGCCGCGGUAAUUC
rnacentral:rRNA from 1 species